AUUUUUUUUUAAAGUGUUUUAACUCCCGUCCUGUCUGAUCUCGGAAACUAAGCAGGGUAGGGCCUGGUUAGCGCUUGGAUGGGAGACCACUUAGGAAGACCAGGUGCUGUAGGUG
rnacentral:rRNA from 1 species